UACGAAGGGGGCUAGCGUUGCUCGGAAUCACUGGGCGUAAAGCGCACGUAGGCGGCUUUCUAAGUCAGGGGUGAAAUCCUGGAGCUCAACUCCAGAACUGCCUUUGAUACUGGAGAGCUUGAGUCCGGAAGAGGUGAGUGGAACUCCGAGUGUAGAGGUGAAAUUCGUAGAUAUUCGGAAGAACACCAGUGGCGAAGGCGGCUCACUGGUCCGGUACUGACGCUGAUGCACGAAAGCUAGGGUAGCAAACGGG
rnacentral:rRNA from 1 species